ensembl:snoRNA
UGCAGUCAAGUCAAAUUCAGUGCCCGUACCUGUCAUAGUGGGGGCUGCCACAGCAAGCUCCACAGCUCAUGAGCACUGGGUCGCCCACUCUGAGACCUGGGGAUAAGUUUGGCUGUGGCCACUG